rnacentral:rRNA from 1 species
UACGUAGGGGGCGAGCGUUGUCCGGAGUUACUGGGCGUAAAGCGCACGCAGGCGGUCUGCUAAGUUUGGAGUGACAGUUGGUGGCUUAACUGCCAAAGUGCUUCGAAAACUGACAGACUUGAGGGCUUCAGAGGGACACGGAAUUCCGGGUGGAGUGGUGAAAUGCGUAGAGAUCCGGAGGAACACCAAAGGCGAAGGCAGUGUCCUGGGAGUACCUGACGCUCAGGUGCGAAAGCCAGGGGAGCGAACGGG